CGUUCCAAUUCGCCCGCCAGGGUGUGCAGCCUUCCCAGGCCCCGUCACGGGCGGAGCGGCGGGAAGGGGAGCGCUCGCGCCCCCUCAGGGCAGGAGGAGCCCGGAAAGUGCAGGAAUGGCAGCGGAGACGGGCAGCGCUGCCUUGUCCGGCUAAACGCGGCGAGGAUUUCACGCGAGGGUUUGCAGGGCGAUGGAAUCCGUCGCUGUGGAUUCUUCGCCUUGUUUACUCCCACACGCGGCUUUGCAUAGGGGUGGGAGCAGGCCCGGAACUCUGGUGUCUGGAGGCGAUCCCAGACAUGAGGACACAAUGGGAGAUAAAUUCAUCAGGAGUUGCCCUGCGGAGAAGGAUUGGAGGUUGUGGUGGGUGAAAGGCUGGACACGAGCCAGCAGUGUGUACUUCCAGCCCAGAAACCCAAACGCAUCCCGGGCUGCAUCAGAAGGACUGCUGGCAGGUCAAGGGAGGCGAUUCCCCCCUUUCCCCUCGGGACACCCCGCCUGGAGAGCCGUGCCCGCCUCACCCUCAGCACAAGGAAGGCAGCGUGUUGCAGCGGAUCCAGAGGAGGCCAGGAAGGGAAUGCCUGGAUUUCAAUCUCUGAACAGGUCUGGAGAGAAAUUGGAGGUGCAUAGCAGCCAUAACCACAAUCUGGGUGGCAGGCCUGCCAGGACUGCAGUGAGGAUGAAGCAAAACAGUACAGUGUUUUUUAAGGAUGGGAUUGAAAUUGGCUAGGAAAGGCUGUCCAGCCUGGGAGCUGCAGAAGGGAACACAGCAGGUAAGGGACUGGGGCUGGCUGAAAAACCAGGGGAAGGAGGGAACUUUGGCAUCAGAAUCAAGAGGAUGAAAGAUAGGGAUAGGGGAAAUAAAAAAAACAGAAAGAAGAGAAAAAUGCAACUGUCUGAGCAAAUACAUUGAGUCAAAGAGGUGUGUAGGGAAUAUGAGAUAAGGAAAUGGCCACCAGGCUGUGAGUUGGGGCAGGGAAUAGGUGAGAACUUGCAGAUCUGGAGUGCAAAGGUUGAUUGGAGGUUCAACGAGUCAAAGAAGGGAAAUGGAUCUGUCUGAGAACAGGAAGGGAGAAUGGGAUCUGGAAGGAGAUGAAUGAAAGUAGGAGUCAGGUGAAGGCUGUAGAUAAAUGAAGAUAAUCUUUUAUACUCCUUCCAUCACCAAAAUGUCUGAGUAGCUUUUUAGAGAAAAUUAAUAACAGCCCGAGUUUUCCCUGGGUGAUAGGGGAGGACCUUUCUCUUUUGAGCCGGAACUAGACUGAGUAAUUUUGGUGUUUAGUUUGUGCUUUUGGGGGGAUCUUUGAUCAGAGACCCUUUGGAGUUUGGUGACAAACUGUGAAUAUCUUUUGUAGUGGGAAGCCUUUCUCAAAUGAUUCUGAAAGAUUUCCUGCAGUGUUGCUUAAAAACAACCAUACUCUGAUCAUACUGUCUUUUUUUGGUCCAGUUAACCUCAAAAAAGACAAACUUUGUCUGC